rnacentral:rRNA from 1 species
UACAGGAGGGGGCAAGCGUUUGUUCGGAUUCAUUGGGCGUAAAGGGUGCGUAGGUGGCGCCGUAAGUCGGGUGUGAAAUUUCGGAGCUUAACUCCGAAACUGCAUUCGAUACUGCGGUGCUUGAGGACUGGAGAGGAGACUGGAAUUCAUGGUGUAGCAGUGAAAUGCGUAGAGAUCAUGAGGAAGACCAGUGGCGAAGGCGGGUCUCUGGACAGUUCCUGACACUGAGGCACGAAGGCCAGGGAGGCAAACGGG